rnacentral:rRNA from 1 species
AUUGAACGCUGGCGGCAUGCCUUACACAUGCAAGUCGAACGGCAGCGGGGGAGAAGCUUGCUUUUCCUGCCGGCGAGUGGCGAACGGGCGAGUAAUACAUCGGAACGUGCCCUGUAGUGGGGGAUAACUAGUCGAAAGAUUAGCUAAUACCGCCUACGACCUGAGGGUGAAAGUGGGGGACCGCAAGGCCUCAUGCUAUAGGAGCGGCCGAUGGCUGAUUAGCUAGUUGGUGGGGUAAAGGCCUACCAAGGCGACGAUCAGUAGCUGGUCUGAGAGGACGAUCAGCCACACUGGGACUGAGACACGGCCCAGACUCCUACGGGAGGCAGCAGUGGGGAAUUUUGGACAAUGGGCGAAAGCCUGAUCCAGCAAUGCCGCGUGUGUGAAGAAGGCCUUCGGGUUGUAAAGCACUUUUGUCCGGAAAGAAAUGGCUCUGGUUAAUACCUGGGGUCGAUGACGGUACCGGAAGAAUAAGGACCGGCUAACUACGUGCCAGCAGCCGCCGUAA